rnacentral:lncRNA from 1 species
GCGCAGUGUUGUCCCAAAGACAAAGUUUAGAUAAGCCGCUGCACCCUUGCGGUUUUUUUUCCAAGAAACUAUCACACACUGAAAGGAGAUAUGACAUUGGUGAUAGAGAACUUUUAGCUAUCAUUAUGGCAUUAAAGGAAUGGAGACAUCUGUUAGAGGGCACUGUCCUCCCAGUUACUAUCUUGACUGAUCACAAAAAUUUAUCUUAUAUGGGGGAGGCCAAAAGAUUAUCUGCCAGGCAGGCACGUUGGUCUAUGUUCCUUACACACUUUAAUUAUAUGCUUACUUACAGGCCUGGUUCUAAGAACACUAAGGCAGACGCUUUGUCUCGUCAGCACGAACCUAUCGCCUCUACAGAAGACACUUUGUUCCCUAUUAUUCCUGAAAUCAAUAUUAUCGCCAACACCAAUGUCAAAAUACACUCUCCAUUGCUCGUAGAUAUUAUGAACGAACAAUCUCUUGCUCCCGAGCGUACUCCUGUGGGCCGCUUGUUCGUGUCUCCAAAAUUCCAAGUAGACAUUAUUCGCUGUUUUCACGAUAGCAAGUUCGCUGGUCACCCCGGCAUCCACAAAACUUACUGCCUGAUCUCCAAAGACUUCUGGUGGCCUGGUUUACGUAGGGAUGUGGAAGACUUUGUCAAGGCUUGCAAUGUUUGUGUCAGGAAUAAACUUCCACGGGAUCUCCCUUGUGGUUUAUUGCAGCCCUUAGUCGUUCCCAACAAACCUUGGGCUUGUUUGGCUAUGGAUUUUAUUGUUGAUCUACCGGCUUCCAGUAGGCAUACGGUUAUCCUCACGGUCCUUGACAGGUUUACUAAAAUGGCUCAUUUCAUUCCCUUGCCUAAACUUCCGUCCUCUCCUGAACUGGCCGUGAUAUUUGCUAGAGAAAUUUUCCGUUUGCAUGGUAUUCCCAAUGAGAUUGUGUUGGACAGGGGUUCCCAGUUUAUUUCCCGUUUUUGGAGAUCCUUCUGUUCCCAGUUGGGCAUCAAACUGAAUUUUUAUUCGGCCUAUCAUCCUCAAUCUAACGGAGCAGCCGAACGCACUAACCAAAAAAUUGAGCAAUAUCUACGUUGUUUUGUUUCUGAACACCAGGAUGACUGGGUCGGUCUGAUUCCUUGGGCGGAGUUUGCUCACAACAACCUUGUUUGUGGUUCCACUCGUAAUAGCCCCUUUUUCUUGAACUAUGGCUUUAACCCUACUGUUCUUCCGUCGGUGUCUCCUUCCCAGGGUAUACCGUCGGUUGAUAUUCAUAUAGCCAACCUGAGAAAGUUGUGGGAUCAGACUCGACAAAUUCUUACACGUAGUUCCGCAGUGUUUAAGUCGCAUGCUGAUAGGCGUAGACGGCCUGCUCCUAUUUUUUGUACCAGACACAUUCGCCUGAAAGUCCCUUCCUUGAAGUUUGCUCCUCGUUACAUAGGCCCUUACAGGGUGCUGAGGAGGAUCAACCCGGUUUCUUAUUUGCUGGACCUGCCCCCUACUCUACGCAUCCCUAACUCUUUUCAUGUGUCUUUAUUGAAACCUCUUGUUUGUAACAGAUUUUCCUCCCGCUCUGCUCCUCCAUCCUCGGUCCGUGUGGAUGGUCAGGAGGAAUAUAUCAUUAAGUCCAUCCUUGAUUCUCGUAUUUCUAGGGGGAAGCUGCAAUACCUCAUAGACUGGAAAGGUUAUGGUCCAGAAGAGAGGUCUUGGGUUCCUUGUAUAGACGUGCAUGCUCCUCGUCUUCUUCGGGCCUUCCACGUUCGUUUUCCUUCUAAGCCCGGUCCCAUCCGCCCGGUGGGCGUUUCUAGAAGGGGGGGUACUGUCAGGGUACCUGUUGGUGCUGAAUCCAGGGAAGACAUCCUCUCUGUUUAGGGGCUCCCUGCCCCUAGCAUUUCGGCAUAUUCCGGCCGUUUUCGCGCCGGCCGCGCUAGCUCCUCCCCCUUUUAUGACGCGACGGCUAGCGUCGACGUCAUGACGUCGGCAUUUACGUGAAGUGCCGGGAACCGCUAUUCCGGACCUUUUGGGGGCGUGGUCUCAAUUUAGGUAACAGGGUAUUUAAAGGAAACCUUUACUACUGCUCAUUGCCCUGUCGUGGUUCUAGCUUGCUAGUCACUCAGCGCGUUCUUUCUCUUGUGUUUCCGGUUUUGACCCUUGCUUGUCUUUUGUCCUGUUGUCCUCUCCUCUCCUUUGACUCGGCUUGUAUCUCGCUUACCUGUCCUCCGGCUCCCUCGACCUCGGCUUACCUUUUGACUAUUCUUGUUUUGUCCCUACGUUAGUCCGGCCAUUCUAAGGUCCGGUAUACGUACCUCCUUCUGUCCGCACUCUGCGUAUUGGAUCCCUGUCAGUAUCCUGACAGCUGCUGAGGGAAAUAAAAAAAGAGUGCAGCAUAAUAGGAGCC